AUGAUCCAGGAGAGGCGGCGGCGGCGGAGGAGCCAAGCCAUGGACCCUAGCCCGCGGCCAUCAGGAUCCGCAGGCAGGAGGCGCAGCCAUGGGAGGAGCAGGACGACGCCAUGGAAGGGUCACCAACAACUCCGGUCUUCUCCAUGGACAUGGAGGUCCUCCGCUGCACUCCCUGAUGCAUCAAGCGCGCAGGCAUACAAGGAGGCUCUGCUUCUUCCCAGGUCGCCAUGGAAGAUUAUUCUUCAGGUUGAUACUAACUUGGUAAUGUUGCUGUUCCGAGACCCCGCUGCCGCUGCGGACGCCAUGGAGACCGUCAAGGAAACUGAAAACUCUGCAGCAGAUUUAUCUUCAGGUUGA
rnacentral:rRNA from 1 species